UCCACACCGGUGAGAAGCCCUACAAGUGCAC
rnacentral:piRNA from 1 species